AGGAAAGCAGGUUGUGACACAGGGAUAUAAAAGAGUCAGACUGAACAGACAGUCCUGAGUCAUCCAGCCCAGUCCUCUGACAUCAGCGGCAAACAAGUCAGAUCUUAUGUUAUUUGCAGAUUGAAACUGCUGAACAGACAAGUGGCAAGGAAGAAUUUUGAAGUCAAUCAAAGUAAAAUAAAGAGUUUGGUGAUUUCUGAUUAUAUUCAUCCUCAGCCAUCGAUUAUAUUCAUCCUCAGCCAUCUACUGCUUGUAUUUUUCUUAAAUAUUCCUGAGACUAAUGCCUUCCUGCUCAGAGAGAUGAAAUCUUCACCCAUGUCUUUAUCAUCACCAUCUUUAACAAUGGUCAACUUCUGUUCUUUAACUUAUCUAAGGCUUGGUCACAUACAGCUGCAGUAGGUGAAAUUCCAUCCUUACCACUACUGUUAGAGUCAAACCUUCCCUGAAUUCUUCCACUAAGUUAUCAUUUAGAGUGCUAGAGAAGCUUGCUUUUUCUUCACAGUGUUAAAGGACAAAUUCAAAUCCACAUUUUGAUUUUUUUUUUUUUUUUUCUCUCUCAACCUAUGAUGAUUUGCUUUCAUAACAUCUUUGCUGUGGAGAUAUACAUUUGUAACAUUAUUCUUCUAGAAUUUACAGUGAUGAUGUUAAUUGAAAUGUUCUCUUUCAGCAGCCUGAAAACCUUAUUUUUCCUCAUUCAGCUCCAUUCUCAAUACUUAACCCUGUUUUUAGUUAUCUCCCUUUGAGGAGGAAGACUAAUUUGUGAUUGAGAAUUCAUUGUUACAAUUAUCUUUUUAUUAUUAUUUUUAUUAUUUUUUAUUAUUAUUUUGAAAUGCAUUGUGAUGAUGGUCAUGAUAUACGUGUCUUAGGUUGACUCCACAGUAUUAUUACUGUUUAUUGCUUCUGUCAUCUUUGAUUUCCCUUUCUGUUGCAGCUUUCACUUGUUGAAGCUUGUCUUAAUUUCAGACCCGUAUUCUACGACUUACACAUCUGCUUACCUUUAGUCAUCUGCGUAUUCCCAUUGAUUCCAGUGAGAAUACAUGCAUACUUUAAAUUAAGCACACGUGCAAGAUUUUUUGAAUUAAAUCAUGGGAAAUAAAGUCUACUUGUUAUUUUUACUAGAUUCAACAGCUAGUGGCUUCUGCAGUUGGCUAAACCUGCAGAGAUUUAAAAGCCAUUGUUACUGAAGAAGACAGUAGGCCUAAAAUCAGUAAGAUUCGAGAAAAGGUCUUGACAAUAUUAAGAAGGUAAUUUUUUUAUAACAAUAGUAGUGGUGUGAGCUUUCAUAGUAAGAGUUGUUCCAAGACAGUAGACCUGGCAAAAACCCAACAUUUUAUUCUCUCUUCUAGAGGUAAUAUUCAGAUCAGAUACAGUUUUCCUCCUUUACAUAAAUCAGUGUUAUCAAAAUUAUGAGGCCAGAGAGUAGGGGAAAUAGUAGUUUGUUACUUUUGAUGGGAAACACCCCCAGUGUAACUAGUGCUGGGUUGUUUGGUAAUCAUAUAGGACUUCUGAUUUUACAUUGCCUGGAAAACAAGCACCUGAAGGACACUAGAAGUUUCUGAGUAAACUUCAGGUGAUUUUUUAAUUAUUAUUAUUAUUAUUAUUAAUUUUUUUUUUUGUAUAUUUGCUUCAUAUUUAAGCUGUUACAAUGAGGACUGGAAACUCUCAAAUUUCAGUCUGCAUUAAGUGGCUUUGUAACUGCACUUCAAUUAAGAAAUAGACUUUAUAAAUGAUUGUCAUAUAAAUCAAAUUCCCUGUGAUCUGUAAAAUUAUUUGAAUGAAUUUAAACCAUUAAAAUUACAAUCAUUAACAUGAUUUGAAAAGAUAUAUACAAAGUCUUUUAUAUAUAUUUAUAAAUAUACUUUUUUUUUUCUCUGCUAAUACAUGCUGGUAGCAACUUAGUGAUAUAUGAGACAAAAUGAAAACUGUGGGAAGAUAAUCCAAUGACUACACUAAAACAUGUUAUUCUGGCACAUCAUAAACAGAGGUCUCAAAGUAUUAACAAUCCCAAGGGACAGAAAUUCUGGGCUACCACCAUCUCUGCAGCUCUGUAGCUAACAUUUGCAUUAUUUACUCAGCCAGGAAAACCUCUCUGAAAGAGCAGGAUCAGAGGGCAACUCAGAUAAGGGCAGAUGUGAAGAGGUGGGAGGUGGAGUCCUGCACAAGGCUCAUUGCACAGAACUUUCCCCAGGGGGCUGCUCUGGUGCCCAGGGGCUGAGGAAAGAGUCCCUGCAGCUCUGGGACCCUGUCAGGAAUAGAAACCCAAAAGCCAAAGGAAAAGAUAGAUAACAAAACAAAACAAAACAAACAAACAAACAACAAAAAAAAAAACAGAGUUAGUGAGAAAAUUUAACCUAGCAUUUCCUGGCAGUGUCUCCUGAAGAGAGACCUUCAGUCAGAGUCGUUUGGCUGCACAGAUGUAUAUCAUGUGACCUCAGCCUUGGAAAUCUGUAAAUUAGAUAAGCUAAUUCAUUUCUCUGCUAAUUUAGAAUUAUGUCUUUGAGGAUGCAUAAUUUGCAGAUUUUCUUCCUAUGAUCUAUUUUUAACAAUUAUUUUACAUUUUAGAGAAAAAUAUUUCCUCCUUUUCUACCUUUGAGCUGUUAGUAUAAAAUAACCAUUGUUAAGGCAGGUGGUCACAAAAACCCACAGGAGCAAAUGUGCUGCAGAUCCAAGGCCACUAUCCAGUAUCUCUGAUAUUUUACAGGCAGGGCAAUAAUGACUAGCAUGAUCUGCUCCCUCUCCAGCAUGUAUUUAUAUUUGCCAUGUAGUAACAUACAUUUUUUAUUUUUCUGUGAAUAUAACACUAUCUGCAAACCAUCUUUGUUCUCUCUGAAAUGUUCUAAACAUUGACAAAGAAACAAACAAACACAAAAUGCAUGCCAAAACAAACUGACUUAUGGUACAGAGAAAGCAAAUAAGCUCAUGUCCAUAGAGAUCUCUUUUAUUACUUUUUUUUUUUUUUUUAAUGCUACGUGUCUCUUCUCAGUUAUGAAGGAAUAAGAAUCACCUCAUGUCCCAGUAGAUUAGGGAAGAAUGAAGUGAUGUGCUUAUCCCAAAUGUCGAAUAUGUGAAGAGGUGGAGCAUGGCUGUGUUGUUACCAGCUUUGUUUUUACAGGAGUACGUGGUGUUUGGAGAGUUUUCUUCUACACCGCAGCACUCAUUUAUGUCAUGUAUGAGGGGAGAGCAAUUGCUUGACUACAAACAAAUAUAUUAGGUAGUACCUGAAAGUAUUCAGCUGUUUUGGACAGUGUCUGGAGCCUACCUCUUCAUAAAACUCAUCUUUAUCAAGGCCCGGGAAUCUCCCUUUGUAGUGUAUCCUAGAAACUGUCUGUAAGCCAAGACAUUCAGAACAACCAAGAGUAUGAAAAGGCAGUUAAAGGUGCACAUGAUAUGCAUGCAGGCUGUAUGGGGAGCAUUUGAAGGAACUGAAAGACUUGGCAGAAAAAAAGCAUCUUGCCCCAAAUUAAGGGUACAUGGGAGGCUUUUUUAACCUUCGCUCUGGCCAUUUGCACACAAUUUUAUGUUAUUAUUUACUACAUGAUUGAACCAAAAUUUGAAUUUGCCAUAGCAACCCAGGCUUCAAAUGGGGCAUAGGUUGCUUUCCAAAAUUACAGCACCUCCUUAAAAAGGAGCAAAGAAUAGUGCACUAUGUAAUCUGAGCUCUUGCAAAAUGUUAUUAGCAAAAUAUGGUUUUAAUAAACAACACGUUUUCCC
rnacentral:lncRNA from 1 species